rnacentral:rRNA from 1 species
AUUGAACGCUGGCGGCAGGCCUAACACAUGCAAGUCGAACGGUAACAGGAAGAAGCUUGCUUCUUUGCUGACGAGUGGCGGACGGGUGAGUAAUGUCUGGGAAACUGCCUGAUGGAGGGGGAUAACUACUGGAAACGGUAGUUAAUACCGCAUAACGUCGCAAGACCAAAGAGGGGGACCUUCGGGCCUCUUGCCAUAGGAUGUGCCCAGAUGGGAUUAGCUAGUAGGUGGGGUAACGGCUCACCUAGGCGACGAUCCCUAGCUGGUCUGAGAGGAUGACCAGCCACACUGGAACUGAGACACGGUCCAGACUCCUACGGGAGGCAGCAGUGGGGAAUAUUGCACAAUGGGCGCAAGCCUGAUGCAGCCAUGCCGCGUGUAUGAAGAAGGCCUUCGGGUUGUAAAGUACUUUCAGCGGGGAGGAAGGGAGUAAAGUUAAUACCUUUGCUCAUUGACGUUACCCGCAGAAGAAGCACCGGCUAACUCCGUG